AAAUGAAUUGACGGGGGCCCGCACAAGCAGUGGAGCAUGUGGUUUAAUUCGAAGCAACGCGAAGAACCUUACCAGGUCUUGACAUCUUUUGCUAACCUGAGAGAUCAGGUGUUCCCUUCGGGGACAAAAUGACAGGUGGUGCAUGGUUGUCGUCAGCUCGUGUCGUGAGAUGUUGGGUUAAGUCCCGCAACGAGCGCAACCCUUAUUGUUAGUUGCCAGCAUUUAGUUGGGCACUCUAACGAGACUGCCGGUGACAAACCGGAGGAAGGUGGGGAUGACGUCAAAUCAUCAUGCCCCUUAUGACCUGGGCUACACACGUGCUACAAUGGACGGUACAACGAGUCGCAAGACCGCGAGGUCAAGCUAAUCUCUGAAAACCGUUCUCAGUUCGGAUUGCAGGCUGCAACUCGCCCACAUGAAGUCGGAAUCGCUAGUAAUCGCGGAUCAGCAUGCCGCGGUGAAUACGUUCCCGGGCCUUGUACACACCGCCCGUCACACCAUGAGAGUUUGUAACACCCAAAGCCGGUGGGGUAACCUUUGGGAGCCAGCCGUCUAAGGUGGGACAGAUGAUUGGGGUGAAGUCGUAACAAGGUAGCCGUAGGAGAACCUGCGGCUGGAUCACCUCCUUUCUAA
rnacentral:rRNA from 1 species